UUAAUUUCCUUUUCACCCAAAACCAAGCCCCCGCCUCUGUCUCUCUCGUUUCCUCUCCCCCUUCACCGUCGGCGGCACGGAGCAGCACCAGCGGCGAGGCAGUCCAGGCAGCGGUGGCAGUGGCGUCGACGUCGGCGUAGCAAGGGCGGGGGUGCAGACCAGCGACUCCUCCUCUCCUUCUCGUCUCUCGUGAAGCUGCAGACAAGCGAGCGCAGCAGGUCAGACGGCGUCAUCAGCAGGAGGCGGCAGCGAGGAACGGCGGCGAAGCUCCUUCCCGGCGUAGCAGUUCUUCCGGCGGACAUUUGGCCUUCCCCUCCGGCGUAGGCGUUUGGCAGCAGGUGUUGGAGGCGACAGUUAGCUUGGUCUCCCUCCUCCGGCCAAGUGGAGUGGCAGUCGGCGUUGUUGGUGGUUGCUGGGCGAAGCUCGGAACAGAAAACAGAGAUAGAAGAUGGAAAGCAAUGGAGGCACUAUACAAGGUACAUAGAGGCAUUUUCCUAAGAUGACUGACCCACCAAAAUUCCCCAAGAAAAUAUUAUUUUGUGACAGAUGGUGGCCUUGAAAUGCAACAAGCUUUUGACAAGUCAAUCAUAAUAAGCGAGAAAGUAGUUAUCCAGAACUAGAAACCUCAUAUCAGUUUCUAGAAUUAGUGACUACAUGCUAUCAAAUGAGCUGGGGUAAAAAGCUGGUGUAUUUUUUUUUAUUUUUUUUAAUAAAAAAAGAGAUUGAGCUAGUGUAAUUUUUUUAAAUGGAGAUUACAUGGUGGUUCCCCAAGGAAAUCGCCGUGUAAUUUUUUUUUUUUAAAUAAAAAUUAGAGAUUAGACGGCGGUUCCCACCAAAAUUGCCGUCUAAUCUAUUGUAUA